rnacentral:lncRNA from 1 species
UCCUUUAAAGAAGACCAUGGGAGAAAGUUUAUGAAUCUCUUAAGUGUAUGGCAUGUUGACUUUGUGCAGGGAACACAUCGGGGCAGACAACCAUUCAUGUUAUUCACCAAAGUUUCAAGGCCCACUUACACCAUUUUUCAACACUCACUCCACAUUCAACAUUAUUAUACCUUCCAAUCUUCAACUACAAAAACUACCAAUCAAUCCAUCUCCUAAUAUUUUAAACAUUACACUAAUCACAUUUCCUCUUCUUCAUCCAAGUCAAAAUCUAAAAUUUCUGCCAUCUUAAAUUUUACUUUCUUUUAAUAAAGAAGUAAAGAAAAGUCAAGAGAGCACUUGUCAAAUAAAUGUGGGUCCUAAUAGCCCUCCAAGUAGUG